rnacentral:rRNA from 1 species
GUUUCAGCAGCCGCGGUAAUACAGAGGUCCCGAGCGUUGUUCGGAUUCACUGGGCGUAAAGGGUGCGUAGGUGGCUUGGUAAGUUUGAUGUGAAAGCUCAGGGCUCAACCCUGAAAUGGCAUUGAAUACUACUGAGCUGGAGGUUUGGAGGGGGGACUGGAAUUCUCGGUGUAGCAGUGAAAUGCGUAGAUAUCGAGAGGAACACCAGUGGCGAAGGCGAGUCCCUGGACAACACCUGACACUGAGGCACGAAAGCUAGGGGAGCAAACAGGAUUAGAUACCCGCGUAGUCC